CUCACAGCGAAAGCAGAAAACAGCAAUCCAACAGUUCAGGACUAGUCAUUCAAAUGGACUAAAGAUGAUGUCAGAAGCAGGAUGCAAAGUGGAGGUUCUAGCGACCCUCAGGAGCACUGAGUGAACAUGCAAGGAACCUGUAGGACCCACUUGUGUCCAUUGAUCUCUCAGAGCAGCUGGGGAUUGUGGCCAUCUGUAGAACAUCAAAUGGUCUCUCUUCAACUGGAAUGACAAAAGCUGAAAGAAAUCUUCUACCCUGAAGACAAAGAAAUGUGCCACCCUGAAGACACCGUAACCUAUGAAUGAUGUGCUGAGACUGGAAAUUCAAAAUGAUGGUAAGUCAGACGGGCCCUAAGGCCUUAAGUUUUGGUCACACCCUUACCUAAGUGAGAACCUGGCUGAAAAGGGGGAAUUUUUAAAAAACAAAAUUAGGGGAAGUCAUUAUUUGUCUGAGUUCAGGCACUAGGCCCCAGCAAACCAAAUCAAGCUAAAAUGAAGCCACUCCUGCUAAACGUUACAUAAUCGAACUAAGUCUUUAAGAAAACACAUAGAUACUAGAACAGAUCAGGUUUUGUUUUUCUCCUGUAAACAGGAUGUCUAACAUAAAGAGGUACCCUCUACUCAGUCCUUAUUCUCUGCUUGCAAAACCUGCUUUUCUACUGUUUCCCAGUAGGUUUCAAAACAAUAUAAGUACAUUUAUGAUAGUGAUAGUAACCUCAGUGACUAGGAUUUUGGUCAAUCACUCAAAAUUGAGAAAAUGACCAAAAAGGGGAAACAACUGUUAAAGCAAACUAAGCAUGGCCUGAAGAUUCCAUAUUUUAUAUUUGAGUCCUUGUGGAUGAACAGUUACCUAGUUUAAUAGUCAGGCAAAAUGGAAACUCAACUAAAUAGUAUGCACCUAUAACAGUGGCUGCGUGUUGGCCAAUCCGAGUGGCCACACUUCAACCACUCUUAGAUUGCUGUAGGUUCAAACUGUGUUCAAAUAAGGCAAGCUCCAAGCUGUAACCAUGCUCAUUGCUUCUGUUCCUCACUCCUGAUUCCUGUAUGUCACUUUACCUUUUUGUCUAUAAAUUUGUUCUGACCAUGAGACACCCCUGGUCUCUGUGAAUCUGCUGUGUGAUUCUGGGGGUGCCUGAUUAGGGAAUCAUUCAUUUCUUCAUUAAACUAUUUUAAAUUUAACUCAGCUGAAGUUUGUCUUUUGUCAGGUUGAAUUUUAUAUAUCUACUUCAGACUUUAAUUUCUUCCAUAUUACAAAGGCUGGUAACAUGUUUUUUAAAUAAGUGAAAAUGUAUUGGACAAAAGUCUUCUGUUGCUUUUUUCUCAAAGUACGUGAAGUGAUGCUACUUUAUCCACCUUUCUCAUAGUUUCUCUGUCAUAAUCUCACACUGGAGGUACAGUAUUCUUCUUCAUACCUUGAGUCCUUUCUCUUGUAAUAUGAAAGGCAUGUAGCCACUUUCUUUUUCUAAUUCUUUUAUAAAUCUAAACAUUCUCACUACCUAUUGGGUACUAUGCUCACCCACUGGGUGAGGGCAUCAUUUUUAUACCAAAUCUCAACAAUACACUAUUUACCCAUGUAAAAAA